GUGCCAGCAGCCGCGGUAAUUCCAGCUCCAAUAGCGUAUAUUAAAGUUGUUGUGGUUAAAAAGCUCGUAGUUGAACCUUGGGCCUGGCUGGCCGGUCCGCCUCACCGCGUGCACUGGUCCGGCCGGGCCUUUCCCUCUGUGGAACCCCAUACCCUUCACUGGGCGUGGCGGGGAAACAGGACAUUUACUUUGAAAAAAUUAGAGUGCUCCAGGCAGGCCUAUGCUCGAAUACAUUAGCAUGGAAUAAUAAAAUAGGACGCGCGGUUCUAUUUUGUUGGUUUAUAGGACCGCCGUAAUGAUUAAUAGGGACAGUCGGGGGCAUCAGUAUUCAACUGUCAGAGGUGAAAUUCUUGGAUCAGUUGAAGACUAACUACUGCGAAAGCAUUUUGCCAAGGAUGUUUUCAUUAAUCAGGAACGAAAGUUAGGGGAUCGAAGACGAUCAGAUACCGUCGUAGUCUUAACCAUAAACUAUGCCGACUAGGGAUCGGACGGUGUUAUUCAUGACCCGUUCGGCACCUUACGAGAAAUCAAAGUGCUUGGGCUCCAGGGGGAGUAUGGUCGCAAGGCUGAAACUUAAAGAAAUUGACGGAAGGGCACCACCAGGGUGGAGCCUGCGGCUUAAUUUUGACUCAACACGGGGAAACUCACCAGGUCCAGACACAAUAAGGGAUUGACAGAUUGAGAGCUCUUUCUUGAUUUUUGUGGGUGGUGUGCAUGCCGUUCUUAGUGUGGGUGACUUGUCUGCUUAAUGCGAUACGACGAGACUACUGCUAAAUAGCCCGCAUGCUCCGGCAGUGCGCUGGCUUCUUAGAGGGACUUUCGGCUCAAGCCGAAGAAG
rnacentral:rRNA from 1 species